rnacentral:rRNA from 1 species
GACGAACGCUGGCGGCGUGCUUAACACAUGCAAGUCGAACGGAAAGGCCCUGCUUUUGUGGGGUGCUCGAGUGGCGAACGGGUGAGUAACACGUGAGUAACCUGCCCUUGACUUUGGGAUAACUUCAGGAAACUGGGGCUAAUCCCGUAUCGGAGCUCCUGCUGCAUGGUGGGCGUUGGAAAGUUUCGGCUGUUGGGGAUGGACUCGCGGCUUAUCAGCUUGUUGGUGGGGUAGUGGCUUACCAAGGCUUUGACGGGUAGCCGGCCUGAGAGGGUGACCAGGCACAAUGGGACUGAGAGACGGCCCAGACUCGUACGGGAGGCAGCAGUGGGGAAUAUUGCACAAUGGGCGGAAGCCGGAGGCAGAAACGCCGCGGGCGGGAUGACGGCCUUCGGGUUGUAAACCGCUUUCGCCUGUGACGAAGCGUGAGUGACGGUAAUGAGUAAAGAAGCACCGGCUAACUAUGUG